rnacentral:rRNA from 1 species
GACGAACGCUGGCGGCGUGCCUAAUACAUGCAAGUAGAACGCUGAAGAGUGGAGCUUGCUCUUCUUGGAUGAGUUGCGAACGGGUGAGUAACGCGUAGGUAACCUGCCUUGUAGCGGGGGAUAACUAUUGGAAACGAUAGCUAAUACCGCAUAACAAUGGAUGACACAUGUCAUUUAUUUGAAAGGGGCAAUUGCUCCACUACAAGAUGGACCUGCGUUGUAUUAGCUAGUAGGUGAGGUAAUGGCUCACCUAGGCGACGAUACAUAGCCGACCUGAGAGGGUGAUCGGCCACACUGGGACUGAGACACGGCCCAGACUCCUACGGGAGGCAGCAGUAGGGAAUCUUCGGCAAUGGGGGCAACCCUGACCGAGCAACGCCGCGUGAGUGAAGAAGGUUUUCGGAUCGUAAAGCUCUGUUGUAAGUCAAGAACGGGUGUGAGAGUGGAAAGUUCACACUGUGACGGUAGCUUACCAGAAAGGGACGGCUAACUACGUG